rnacentral:lncRNA from 1 species
AUGUGCAUGAUAAUAUAGCUAUGAACACCCUGCUGAUCCAUGGUUUCAGUCGACUACAUGCACAUGCACAUGCACAUCCACGCUCACUAUAAAAAAAGUUAUUUACUAUUUCAGCAUGACAACAACUAUGGACGCAAAAAAAUAAUUCCAAAAAGAAUGACAACAUUUAAAAAUAUAUAUUUGUUUUCACUUUUGUACAGAAAAAAAAGUUACAAGUCAGAUAGGGAGUUCUAAAAUUAUGUCAGAUUUUGACUCUGGGUUGAACACUUUAUAAUUUAAUUAAAACUAUGCAAUUUCAGAAGUUGGCCACUAUGUGGCAUAAUCUAUGAUGUUGAUGGAAACUACUCAUUUAAGUUCCUGUUGUAUGUGUGUAAUGUCUGCAAAUAAUUGCUUCUGGACUGGUAAACUUCAGACUAAUAUUGCCUGCUGCACUAUGUUAAUCUGUCUGAUGAAUUUACUUCUAAUGGCUGCAGUUCUUGGUAAGUAACUUAACUGUUAAGCUCUGAAGCAACAUGAGCAUGUUUUUAACUAGAAUAAACACACUCCAGCAGUGGGUGGAGCUUAUAGUUGAGAGUGAGAGGCAGAGUGAAACAGCUACAGUACAGUUAUAAAGAUUAUAUUGUUGUCAUCACUGUCUCUGUAAAGACAUCAUGUUUCUUUUCACCUUUCUAAUAAUCCAGUUUUGCAUAGGAAAUUCAUUUGGUGACACAAUACAACCAUGGUUUCUAGAAAAACAUGAUUCUGAGGGUGAAAAUGUGACUCUGUCAUGUAACUACAGUAUCACUAGUGGCAGCACUAGUGUUAAUAUCCACUGGUAUCGCCAGUAUCCCGGAGCAAAACCUGAGUUUUUACUUCUUGUCACUGAAUAUUCCAGCAAAUCUGAGCCUGAACUACGACUAUUUUCAGAAGCUAAAAAAGAAAUCAAACGUGUGGAUCUGGUGAUCUUCUCUGCUGCUGUAUCAGACUCUGCUCUGUAUUACUGUGCUCUGGUGCCCACAGUGACAGGAAACACAGUAACAAUGUACAAAAACCUUCCCUUUUAUCUAGUAAAAUUAAAACACAAACACACACAUACAGAGACAAAGACUAAGAGAGAAACUGUAGAGUAUUUAUAG